UACGUAGGGGGCAAGCGUUGUCCGGAUUUAUUGGGCGUAAAGAGCGUGUAGGCGGCCUGGCAAGUCCGCUGUGAAAACUCGAGGCUUAACCUCGAGACGUCGGUGGAAACUGCCUGGCUAGAGUCCGGAAGAGGAGAGUGGAAUUCCUGGUGUAGCGGUGAAAUACGUAGAGAUUGGGAAGAACACCAGUGGCGAAGGCGGCUAUCUGGACGGUUUCUGACACUAAGACUCGAAAGCGUGGGGAGCAAACAGG
rnacentral:rRNA from 1 species